AGGGAAUCUUCCCAAUGGACGAAAGUCUGAUGGAGCAAUGCCGCGUGAGUGAAGAAGGGUUUCGGCUCGUAAAACUCUGUUGUUAAAGAAGAACACCUUUGAGAGUAACUGUUCAAGGGUUGACGGUAUUUAACCAGAAAGCCACGGCUAACUACGUGCCAGCAGCCGCGGUAAUAC
rnacentral:rRNA from 1 species